UGAGUCUUCCUCUGGAAGCUGGUUUCACAUGGUGGCUUAGAUUUUCCCAUCUUUGUAUCUAGCACCAUUUGAAAUCAGUGUUCUAGGGGCAAGAAUUA
ensembl:miRNA